AUUGGGCAGGUUUUCAGUUUGAUUAUGUUUUUAACUGGACCAUUCUAAAGUACCAACAGGCACAGAUGACCACUGCUCCACCUCGUGCAAUUGCUCCAGCAGUAGGACAAAGCUCUGGGAUGGCUCCUGUGC